UCCUGGAAUAGAAAAAGAAAGAGACAGAAAAUAGUUUCUCUGAUUGAAGAAUCUAGUCAUCAUCUCAGAUCCCAAAGCAGAGUCCUCAUUGAACCUGGUGGGAAAAAAAUGGUGAAAUCCCUGGGAGCCUCAUUAGUAAUGCUAUUUUUCCAACUGGGCUGGGUUACCAGCCAGUCUAAGAUAAAUCAGAGUCCACAAUUCCUGCAGGUCCAGGAAGGAGGCACAGCCCUAAUUAACUGCAGUUUUACAGACAGUAAUUUUGCUUACUUCCUCUGGUACCGGCAAGUUUCUGGGAAGGCCCUCACAUUUUUGAUAGCAAUUCGUGAGACCCAGGAUAUACAGGAAGAGGGAAGAUUCAUCGUCCAUCUGGAAAAAAGUGCCAAACACUACUUUCUGCAUAUCAAAGUCUCCCAACCUGAAGACUCAGGCUUCUACUUCUGUGCAGCAGAUACACAGUGGUCCCCAGGCACCUGCAGCUUGUGCAUAAACCCUGCAGUGGGUUUUUUUAAUAGUAUAUUUUUUUUAGUAUAAUCUCUUUUUUGGCAGCAAAAACA